rnacentral:tRNA from 1 species
GCCCGGUUAGCUCAAUCGGUAGAGCGUGAGACUCUUAAUCUCAAGGACCCCCGCAUCGGGCU